rnacentral:rRNA from 1 species
GGAUGCGAUCAUACCAGCACUAAUGCACCGGAUCCCAUCAGAACUCCGCAGUUAAGCGUGCUUGGGCGAGAGUAGUACUAGGAUGGGUGACCCCCUGGGAAGUCCUCGUGUUGCAACCCC